GAUGCAGCCAUGCCGCGUGAGUGAGAAGGCCUUUGGGUUGUAAAGCUCUUUCGUCGGGGAAGAAAAUGACUGUACCCGUAUAAGAAGGCCCGGCUAACUCCGUGCCAGCAGCCG
rnacentral:rRNA from 1 species